AGGUGACAUAGUUGGUGGAUGGUGUUAGGUGAGAUUGAAUCUUAGCCACCAAUAUGUUAGGUGAGAUUGAAUCUUAGCCACCCAACAUGUUAGGUGAGAUUGAAUCUUAGCCACCCAUUAUGGUGGUAGGUGGGAUAGAAAGUGUAUAUAAGGAGGAUGUCACAUUGUGAAUCCUCACCUCACAACUUGUAAAGCAUUGAGUAGCAAUACAAGCAUAUAUUCUCCCAAACAUUCUUGAGUGUU